CACAGGUGGCUGAAAGGUCAGCAUCCCUCAAACUCAUUUCACUUGUGAUUCAAAAAUCAUAUUGAAAAAUCUGAUCUCCUGAGAGAUGAAAUGCUGGCUGCUGCUGUGCAGGGUUCCUGUGGGCCAACUUGUCCCAGCCAGCUCCUUAGCAUCCUGACUUCCUUCAGGGAGCUGGCAGUUUUACCUUGACUGACCUUGGGCUGGGGUGGUGGAGAGUUUCCAAGAAGUGGAUCAACUUUGUCAGAAGACCUGCCUAAUGUUUUAUUUUUUGCUACAUGUACACAGUGAGCUCAUUUCAUUUUCCAAAUAACUUUACUUAAAGGCUUUGCUCCUCACAGGAGUAGAUGAAGGAAAAGUUACUGGAAUCGAGGUGCUUGUACCAGGAAGAUAAAUGCAAAGCCCUCCCUCUCUCCACCGCUGAGCAGGUCAAAAAAUGAUUGCGUUGGGCGUGAAGGAUUUAUGUCUGCCGUGAGUCAGUCAGAGUAUCGGGGUAAAUCAAGGCUGACAUUUUUAGCAUCUGGGAAAAAAAAAAGCAAUUGCUUUUUAUGUCUACAUUUUGCUCGGCUAAUCAAGGUUGGAUGGCCCCGCAUGCUGUUGUCUUCCAAGGACCCAGCGACUCAGGAACUCAGACUGUUUCAUUCUUGCAACUCUGACAUUUCAGUUUCAUUUGACCGCAAAUAGAUGCACAGAGGCAAAGAGAU